rnacentral:rRNA from 1 species
UACAGAGGUCUCAAGCGUUGUUCGGAUUCAUUGGGCGUAAAGGGCGUGUAGGCGGUUGGUCAAGUCGGGUGUGAAAGCCUGAGGCUCAGCCUCAGAAGUGCAUCCGAAACUAGCCAGCUAGAGCGCGAUAGAGGAGGGUGGAAUUCCUGGUGUAGCGGUGAAAUGCGUAGAUAUCAGGAGGAACACCGGCGGCGAAGGCGGCCCUCUGGCUCGUUGCUGACGCUGAGACGCGAAAGCGUGGGGAGCAAACAGG